CGAUGUCUUCCUUAUAUGCUUCUCGGUGGUAAAUCCAGCCUCAUUUCAAAAUGUGAAAGAGGAGUGGGUACCGGAACUUAAGGAAUACGCACCAAAUGUACCCUUUUUAUUAAUAGGAACUCAGAUUGAUCUCCGAGAUGACCCCAAAACUUUAGCAAGACUGAAUGAUAUGAAAGAAAAACCUAUAUGUGUGGAACAAGGACAGAAACUAGCAAAAGAGGUAAUGGAACACUUACAGAAUUUAAGCAUGAAUGUAAAAGAUGCUAAGAUAACAAUAGAAGCUAAUUUUAUUGUGUAUUUACUGUGUGCCAGGCGGAGUGCUUUACAUGCAUUAUCUCAUUUAAUCCUUGCAUGAACUCAGUGAGGUAGGUCUGUUUCCCCUGUUACACAGAAGAGACAGUGGAGGCUUGGAGAUGUCAGAUAAUUCGCCCAAGAUCCUGCAGGUAAUAAAUGGCAGAGUUGGGUUUCAGUCCAAAGCCUGACUCCUGGGCCGAGGCUCUUACACCUUUGCUACAUUGCCAGUGAUAUUUUCCUAAAAAGUCACAUAUGGAAAAAAGCAUCGGAAACUCGUGUCACUACUUUCAACCCUUCUUCAUUACUUAAACAGUUGCACUGUGCCAAAUCAGCUCUGUCUUAAGACUCAUUGAGUUAGACAGUGGAGCCACCUAGGAUGACAGUUUAAAUUUGUG
rnacentral:sRNA from 1 species